AAGGCUGGAUGCUGGCUGCUGCCGGAGUUUAGUCUUGAAUUGUUUGUGCACCUUGGUGGCUGGUUCUGUGGCAGUGUAACGCGAACCCUUGCCUGGACAGGACGGCAACAAAACAAGCCAAAAAAGAACAAUAAAAUCAUGUACUCGUAAUUUCCUUAUUUACUUGGACAAAAACAAAAUUCAAACAAAGCAAAGAAACAACAAACACCAAAAACAAACACAACGUGAAA